CGAUGGCGCUGGCGGCAGGCCUAACACAUGCAAGUCGAGCGGUAGCACACAGAGCUUGCUCUCGGGUGACGAGCGGCGGACGGGUGAGUAAUGUCUGGGAAACUGCCUGAUGGAGGGGGAUAACUACUGGAAACGGUAGCUAAUACCGCAUAANGUCNCAAGACCAAAGUGGGGGACCUUCGGGCCUCAUGCCAUCAGAUGUGCCCAGAUGGGAUUAGCUAGUAGGUGGGGUAANGGCUCACCUAGGCGACGAUCCCUAGCUGGUCUGAGAGGAUGACCAGCCACACUGGAACUGAGACACGGUCCAGACUCCUACGGGAGGCAGCAGUGGGGAAUAUUGCACAAUGGGCGCAAGCCUGAUGCACCAUGCCGCGUGUGUGAAGAAGGCCUUCGGGUUGUAAAGCACUUUCAGCGGGGAGGAAGGCGUUGAGGUUAAUAACCUUGUCGAUUGACGUUACCCGCAGAAGAAGCACCGGCUAACUCCGUGCCAGCCAGCCGCGGUAAUACGGAAGGUGCAAGCGUUAAUUCGAA
rnacentral:rRNA from 1 species